CAGGAAAAGGCUUUUCCUGUGGAACGCCUUGAAGUGAGAAACACAUGGCUAAUCUGCAUAAACGCGAAGCCACACCGCCCCUGCCAGGAAGGUUAGUGCUCGUAAUCUCUGGCCAUGAAGCUGGCUGCCUGGGAGGACUUGGACUGGCGCCUGAUAACCCAGAAAGAGCCGAGAGAGAACAGAUGGGGACAGGCGGCAGCUGUUGAUCCAGUUCCCGUUCGGGACCCUCCCCUGUUGAGGAGCAUUCCAGGCGGGGACAAAUAUAAAAGUAUUUCGUGGCUUUGAAAAUUGUUCAAAAACCCUUACUCCGGCUGAAGAGAAACUGCCCAGAAAUCUGUUUAGUUCUAUCCC